GUCCACGCCGUAAACGAUGCGCACUAGGUAUGGGGCGUCUCACGCCAACCGUGCCGUAGAAAUUAGAUAAGUGCGCCGCCUGGGGAGGUACGGCCGCAAGGCUAAACUCAAAGGAAUUGACGGGGCGUCACACAAGCGGUGGAGCAUGUGGAUUAAUUCGAAGCAACGCGAAGAACCUUACCUGGGUUUGACAUGCACGGAUGCCCUCUUGGAAACAGGAGUAAGCUGCUUCGGUGAAACGUGCACAGGUGCUGCAUGGCUGUCGU
rnacentral:rRNA from 1 species